rnacentral:rRNA from 1 species
UGUGGUCCGAUGAAUGUUGAGGCUCGUGGCGGAUAUCGUUAUUUUCUCACCUUCACAGAUGACUUAAGCAGAUAUGGGUAUAUCUACUUGAUGAAACAUAAAUCUGAAACAUUUGAAAAGUUCAAAGAAUUUCAGAGUGAAGUUGAAAAUCAUCGUAACAAGAAAAUAAAAUUCCUACGAUCUGAUCGUGGAGGAGAAUAUUUGAGUUACGAGUUUGGUGUACAUUUAAAACAAUGUGGAAUAGUUUCACAACUCACGCCACCCGGAACACCACAGCGUAAUGGUGUGUCCGAACGUCGUAAUCGUACUUUACUAGAUAUGGUACGAUCUAUGAUGUCUCUUACUGAUUUACCGCUAUCGUUUUGGGGAUAUGCUUUAGAGACGGCUGCAUUCACAUUAAAUAGGGCACCAUCAAAAUCCGUUGAGACGACGCCAUAU